AGAGUUUGAUGCCAACUGUUGUGCUAUUUGUCCCAUCUGAACUUCAAGAUUUUUGAUGGAGGUUGUGGUGUUUUUCUGAUUAGUCCUUGUUUCUUCUUGAAACUGUAUACUGUGGGCUGCUAACUUUUCAAUGGCAAUCUCCCAUAUGAUGGAGGUUGUGGUGUUUUUCUGAUUAGUCCUUGUUUCUUCUUGAAACUGUAUACUGUGGG
rnacentral:lncRNA from 1 species